AGGAGGAACAACCACAGAGGCGGCGGCCAGCUAUGGAGCUCUGGAUUCAGCUCCCGCAGUAGGUACAGAGCUUUCAGUCUGCAGGGGCCUGUAUGCUCCGGGGGUGG
rnacentral:pre_miRNA from 1 species